rnacentral:lncRNA from 1 species
CCAAGGAGAACUGCAGAUGGGGUGUGCAACCAGCCAGGGAGAGAGAAGUGUGUUGCAGUCAAUAAUGCUGGAAGGGUGUGCAGCCAUCAAAGUACUUUGACAUCAAACAGAGAUACCGGAUUUGGAAUUUGCCCUGCUCAGGACCCUGCGCUGUGAGGACCCGAGAGUCAGCUACCAAGGAGGCAGCAGAGAGCCAGAGCCAUCUGUGAGGUACCAUGUUCGGAAGUUCACCUGCCAUCAGAGCCCUGAGGUCACAGAAUGGCUGCUUGAGCAACAGAUAUUAAAGAGAAACCCAAUCGUAAUCAGGAAGCAGAGAGGUGGUUUCUUUCUUGUGUCUCUUUUGAAGGGG